rnacentral:rRNA from 1 species
AUGCAGUCGACGGCAGCACAGUAAGAGCUUGCUCUUAUGGGUGGCGAGUGGCGGACGGGUGAGGAAUACAUCGGAAUCUACCUUUUCGUGGGGGAUAACGUAGGGAAACUUACGCUAAUACCGCAUACGACCUUCGGGUGAAAGCAGGGGACCUUCGGGCCUUGCGCGGAUAGAUGAGCCGAUGUCGGAUUAGCUAGUUGGCGGGGUAAAGGCCCACCAAGGCGACGAUCCGUAGCUGGUCUGAGAGGAUGAUCAGCCACACUGGAACUGAGACACGGUCCAGACUCCUACGGGAGGCAGCAGUGGGGAAUAUUGGACAAUGGGCGCAAGCCUGAUCCAGCCAUACCGCGUGGGUGAAGAAGGCCUUCGGGUUGUAAAGCCCUUUUGUUGGGAAAGAAAAGCAGCUGGCUAAUACCCGGUUGUUCUGACGGUACCCAAAGAAUAAGCACCGGCUAACUUCGUGCCAGCAGCCGCGGUAAUACGAAGGGUGCAAGCGUUACUCGGAAUUACUGGGCGUAAAGCGUGCGUAGGUGGUUGUUUAAGUCUGUUGUGAAAGCCCUGGGCUCAACCUGGGAAUUGCAGUGGAUACUGGGCGACUAGA